CCUACGGGAGGCAGCAGUGAGGAAUAUUGGUCAAUGGCCGGAAGGCUGAACCAGCCAUGCCGCGUGAAGGUCAGUGCCCUAUGGGCGUUAAACUUCUUUUGUGCGGGAGCAAUAAUGGUCACGUGUGGCCAGACGAGAGUACCGUACCAAUAAGCAUCGGCUAACUCCGUGCCAGCAGCCGCGGUAAUACGGGGGAUGCAAGCGUUAUCCGGAUUUAUUGGGUUUAAAGGGUGCGUAAGCUGUGAGGUAAGUCAGCGGUGAAAUGCCCCCGCUCAACGGGGUGAAGUGCCAUUGAUACUGGCAUGCUGGAGUGCGGAUGCCGUGGGAGGAAUGUGUGGUGUAGCGGUGAAAUGCAUAGAGAUCACACAGAACACCGAUUGCGAAGGCAUCUCACGAAUCCGCGAUUGACGCUGAUGCACGAAAGCGUGGGUAUCAAACAGGAUUAGAUACCCGAGUAGUC
rnacentral:rRNA from 1 species